rnacentral:rRNA from 1 species
AGAGUUUGAUCCUGGCUCAUGAUGAACGCUAGCGGCAGGCUUAAUACAUGCAAGUCGAGGGGCAACACGGGUAGCAAUACCUGCUGGCGACCGGCAAACGGGUGCGGAACACGUACAGAACCUUCCUAUAAGCGGGGGAUAGCCCAGAGAAAUUUGGAUUAAUACCCCAUAGUAUGAUGGUCUGGCAUCAGACAAUAAUUAAAGAUUUAUCACUCAGAGAUGGCUGUGCGGCUGAUUAGGUAGUUGGUGCGGGUAAAGGCUCACCAAGCCUUCGAUCAGUAACUGGUGUGAGAGCACGACCAGUCACACGGGCACUGAGACACGGGCCCGACUCCUACGGGAGGCAGCAGUAACGAAUAUUAGGUCAAUGGACGCAAGUCUGAACCAGCCAUGCCGCGUGAAGGAUGAAGGGUCCUCUGGAUAGUAAACUUCUUUUAUGUGAGGAAGAAAUGCACUUUUUACUACAGUGUUUUGACGGUACCCAUAAAGAAUAACGCACCCGGGCUAACCUCACGGUGCCCAAGCCAAGCCCGCCCGGGUAAAUAACUNGAAAGGGGGUUGCCAAAAGCCGUUUAAUUUCCCGGGAAUUCCACCCUGGGGGUUUUUAAUAAGGGGGUUGCCGUUAAGGGUGGGGAAAUUUGUAAAGAUNCAGUUGGGGUGAAUAAUUAUCCCGGGUGCCUUGUAAUCCAAUUGGAAAACUUGCCC